rnacentral:rRNA from 1 species
ACGGAGGGUGCAAGCGUUGUCCGGAAUCAUUGGGCGUAAAGCGUUCGUAGGCGGCAUACCAAGUCUGGUGUUAAAUCCCGGGGCUCAACUCCGGUCCGGCAUUGGAUACUGGUAAGCUAGAAUGUGGUAGAGGUAAAGGGAAUUCCUGGUGUAGCGGUGAAAUGCGUAGAUAUCAGGAGGAACACCGGUGGUGUAGGCAGUUUACUGGGCAAUAAUUGACGCUGAGGAGCGAAAGCCUGGGGAGCAAAUGG